CCUACGGGAGGCAGCAGUGGGGAAUAUUGGACAAUGGGCGCAAGCCUGAUCCAGCAAUGCCGCGUGGGUGAAGAAGGUCUUCGGAUUGUAAAGCCCUUUUGGCAGGGACGAUGAUGACGGUACCUGCAGAAUAAGCUCCGGCUAACUUCGUGCCAGCAGCCGCGGUAAUACGAAGGGGGCUAGCGUUGCUCGGAAUGACUGGGCGUAAAGGGCGCGUAGGCGGCAUACACAGUCAGAUGUGAAAUUCCUGGGCUCAACCUGGGGACUGCAUUUGAUACGUGUAAGCUAGAGUGGAGAAGAGGGUCGUGGAAUUUCCAGUGUAGAGGUGAAAUUCGUAGAUAUUGGAAAGAACACCGGUGGCGAAGGCGGCGACCUGGUCUUUAACUGACGCUGAGGCGCGAAAGCGUGGGGAGCAAACAGGAUUAGAUACCCCUGGUAG
rnacentral:rRNA from 1 species